UACGUAGGUGGCAAGCGAUACUCGGAAUCACUAGGCGUAAAGCGCAGGUAGGAGGUUUGGUAAGUCUAUUGUGAAAGCUCCCGGCUUAACUGGGAGAGGUCAAUGGAAACUACCAGGCUAGAGUGCGGUAGAGGUAGCUGGAAUUCCCGGUGUAGCGGUGAAAUGCGUAGAUAUCGGGAGGAAUACCGGUGGCGAAGGCGGCAUCCUGGACCAUUACUGACGCUGAGGCGCGAAAGCUAGGGGAGCAAACGGGG
rnacentral:rRNA from 1 species